rnacentral:rRNA from 1 species
GACGAACGCUGGCGGCGUGCUUAACACAUGCAAGUCGAACGGAAAGGCCCUGCUUUUGUGGGGUGCUCGAGUGGCGAACGGGUGAGUAACACGUGAGUAACCUGCCCUUGACUUUGGGAUAACUUCAGGAAACUGGGGCUAAUACCGGAUAGGAGCUCCUGCUGCAUGGUGGGGGUUGGAAAGUUUCGGCGGUUGGGGAUGGACUCGCGGCUUAUCAGCUUGUUGGUGGGGUAGUGGCUUACCAAGGCUUUGACGGGUAGCCGGCCUGAGAGGGUGACCGGCCACAUUGGGACUGAGAGACGGCCCAGACUCCUACGGGAGGCAGCAGUGGGGAAGAUUGCACAAUGGGCGGAAGACUGAUGCAGCAACGCCGCGUGCGGGAUGACGGCCUUCGGGUUGUAAACCGCUUUCGCCUGUGACGAAGCGUGAGUGACGGUAAUGGGUAAAGAAGCACCGGCUAACUACGU